rnacentral:lncRNA from 1 species
GGCGGCGGGGGACGACGAGAAGAAGCCUCCGCCGGAGACGGGGACGGGCGGGGGCGACGACGGUGAGCGGAGGAUGGAUCCGUCCAAGGAUGGCGAUUUCUCCGUGUUUUUCUGAGGUGUUUUUAGAUUUUAGUGCUACGUCCUUCCCAGAAAAAAUGGGUUUGGCCAGGUUUAUUCUGUCAAUACGAUAUUUUCUUUUCGUUAGGAACUCGUAGUACAGAACAGUAAGUAUAUGGUGGGAUUUGGUGGACGGAUGAGUACAUAAUUAAGGAGGUAAUCGUGUGUUUAGACGAGUAGAGUAGUACGUUUUUGCUUUGCUUCUUGUCCACAUUUUUGGUGGAUACCUUGCUUUGGCCCGUACAUACAAGGAUUAUUGAGGCGAUCGAGUACAUGAUGAAUAAUCAACAGUUAGAUUAAGCAGAUGAGGUGGUGUUUCUUUACCAGGGACACUUUUAGUCCCUAGGUAAAGAAACACGAGGGACUUUUCCUUAAAGGACUAGAAGAAGACUAAACUUUUUUUUAGUCUCUGGGAUUAAAAAAAAGCCUAGUCCCAAACACCACCUAAGUUGCAAAUUGGUCUUGAUGUCUGUUUUUCCAUUUCGCGCACAGUGGCUUUUGGUAUGGAAAUUCUAGGCAUCUAUACUUGCUAAAAAUAACUAUUCUGUUCUCGCG